GAGUUUGAUUCUGGCUCAGGAUGAACGCUGGCGGCGUGCCUAACACAUGCAAGUUGAGCGAGAAAUCCUCUUAAAGAAGUUUCGGUAGACUUAAGAGAUGGAGAGCAGCGGACGGGUGAGUAACGCGUGGGAAACCUGCCCUUGACAGGAGGAUAGCCGAGAGAAAUUUCCAUUAAUACUUCAUAAAGCAGAGCAUUCGCAUGGAUGAACUGCCAAAGAAUUAUCGGUCAAGGAUGGUCCCGCGUCUGAUUAGCUGGUUGGUAAGGUAGCGGCUUACCAAGGCGACGAUCAGUAGCCGGCCUGAGAGGGUGAACGGCCACAUUGGAACUGAGACACGGUCCAGACUCCUACGGGAGGCAGCAGUGGGGAAUAUUGCACAAUGGGCGAAAGCCUGAUGCAGCAACGCCGCGUGGAGGAAGAAGGCUUUCGAGUCGUAAACUUCUGUCCAAAGGGAAGAAUAAUGACG
rnacentral:rRNA from 1 species